CUUGAAGUAAUUACACGACCCUACCUCGAAGAGAUGCAUCUCUUCCUCAACUCUCUGUCUCUACUCCGUCAACUCUCUCUCGGUGGUCUAAGGACGGCGUCAUUACUCCAUCGGCGCCUCCAUCUUCGCUCUCCCCUGUGGCCACUUCGAGUUCGGACUGGUGUUAAUAUCUGACAUAGGCAAUAUUGGGUGUUCAGUCGGCACUCUUCAAUUUCAUGCCUCUCUAGCAGUGGUGCUGUUGGUAAUCUGUACCUGCACAUAUGUGAAAAUUGCAUAUCCACCACUUCUUGAGAAGAAAACUGGUAGAUUGGCAUCCACACCAGGCAAUGUUUAAUAGCACAAUUACCGAAGAUGAUGGUUUCUUAUGUCCUGCGGAUGGGGCCAUAAUGAUAACAGUCAUUUGCCUUACAACAGGAAUGGAUUCAAAUUCUUCACAAAUGCUGGUGGGCUUGGGAAAGCUGACAUUAAAAACAUCUUAGAGCAUGCUGCAGAUAUUUAUAACAAGUGGUGGGAUAGAGAUGGAUGAUGAUGUAGAAGAAGAAUAUCAUGGUCAUGGUGCACAAGAAAUGGAAACAAUAAGAAAUAGCAUUACUCAAAAUUUGAUGAAUGCGCGUAAUAAAGUGGACAUUUGAAUAUAUUGUGAUAUUUUUUGUGGUUACUUGAUGCCAAUCAGAAACCAAUUGUAAUUAAUGUUACUAAUAUAUUUGUAUAAGUUUUUUUUUUAAAAUUGUCCAAUAUUAAUCAUA